UUCCAGACUCCUACGGGAGGCAGCAGUGGGGAAUAUUGCACAAUGGGGGAAACCCUGAUGCAGCGACGCCGCGUGAGUGAAGAAGUAUUUCGGUAUGUAAAGCUCUAUCAGCAGGGAAGAAAAUGACGGUACCUGACUAAGAAGCCCCGGCUAACUACGUGCCAGCAGCCGCGGUAAUACGUAGGGGGCAAGCGUUAUCCGGAUUUACUGGGUGUAAAGGGAGCGUAGACGGUGAUGCAAGUCAGAAGUGAAAGCCCGGGGCUCAACUCCGGGACUGCUUUUGAAACUGUGUGACUGGAGUGCAGGAGAGGUAAGCGGAAUUCCUGGUGUAGCGGUGAAAUGCGUAGAUAUCAGGAGGAACACCAGUGGCGAAGGCGGCUUACUGGACUGUAACUGACGUUGAGGCUCGAAAGCGUGGGGAGCAAACAGGAUUAGAUACCCGAGUAUUC
rnacentral:rRNA from 1 species